UUGGAGGGCAAGUCUGGUGCCAGCAGCCGCGGUAAUUCCAGCUCCAAUAGCGUAUAUUAAAGUUGUUGCAGUUAAAAAGCUCGUAGUUGAAUUUCGGGGUUAGUAGGUUGGUCAUGCCACUGGUAUGUACUGGUCUCACUGAUUCCUCCUUCCUGAUGAGCCGUAAUGCCAUUAAUUUGGUGUUGCGAGGAAUCUGGACUGUUACUUUGAAAAAAUUAGAGUGUUUAAAGCAAGCUAACGCUUGAAUACAUUAGCAUGGAAUAAUGAAAUAGGACGUUCGAUCCUAUUUUGUUGGUUUCUAGGAUUGACGUAAUGAUUAAUAGGGAUAGUUGGGGGCAUUAGUAUUCAAUUGUCAGAGGUGAAAUUCUUGGAUUUAUUGAAGACUAACUACUGCGAAAGCAUUUGCCAAGGAUGUUUUCAUUAAUCAAGAACGAAAGUUAGGGGAUCGAAGACGAUCAGAUACCGUCGUAGUCUUAACCAUAAACUAUGCCGACUAGGGAUCGGAUGAUGUUAAUUUUUUAAUGACUCAUUCGGCGCCUUACGGGAAAC
rnacentral:rRNA from 1 species